rnacentral:rRNA from 1 species
AUUGAACGCUGGCGGAAUGCUUUACACAUGCAAGUCGAACGGCAGCACGGACUUCGGUCUGGUGGCGAGUGGCGAACGGGUGAGUAAUGUAUCGGAACGUGCCCAGUCGUGGGGGAUAACGUAGUCAAAAUUACGCUAAUACCGCAUACGAUCUAUGGAUGAAAGCGGGGGAUCGCAAGACCUCGCGCGAUUGGAGCGGCCGAUAACAGAUUAGGUAGUUGGUGGGGUAAAGGCCCACCAAGCCAACGAUCUGUAGCUGGUCUGAGAGGACGACCAGCCACACUGGAACUGAGACACGGUCCAGACUCCUACGGGAGGCAGCAGUGGGGAAUUUUAGACAAUGGGCGAAAGCCUGAUCCAGCCAUUCCGCGUGCAGGAUGAAGGCCCUCGGGUUGUAAACUGCUUUUGUACAGAACGAAAAGGUUUCUACUAAUACUAGGAGCUCAUGACGGUACUGUAAGAAUAAGCACCGGCUAACUACGUGCCAGCCGCCGCAGUAA